rnacentral:rRNA from 1 species
UACGGAGGAUGCGAGCGUUAUCCGGAUUUAUUGGGUUUAAAGGGUGCGUAGGCGGAAUAUCAAGUCAGCGGUAAAAAUUCGGGGCUCAACCCCGUCGUGCCGUUGAAACCGGAGCGCUAGAAUUCCGAUGCCGUCGGAGGAAUGUGUGGUGUAGCGGUGAAAUGCAUAGAUAUCGCGCAGAACUCCGAUUGCGAAGGCAGCGUACCGGCGCCAGACUGACGCUGAGGCACGAAAGCGUGGGGAUCGAACAGG